GUGCUCGCUUUGGCAACAAAAAUACUAAAAUUGGAAUGAUACAGAGAUGAUUAGCAUGGCUCCUGUUCAAGGAUGACAUACAAAUUCAUGAAGCAUUAAAUAUUUUA
ensembl:snRNA U6 U6 spliceosomal RNA